GAUGAAGAACGUAGCGAAAUGCGAUAAGUAAUGAGAAUUGCAGAAUUCAGUGAAUCAUCGAAUCUUUGAACGCACAUUGCGCCCGCCAGUAUUCUGGCGGGCAUGCCUGUUCGAGCGUCAUUUCAACCCUCAAGCCCUGCUUGGUGUUGGGGAUCGGCGUUGCCUCCUCCGUCGUUCGCGGCGGGGUGAGGUCGCCGCCCCCGAAAUGAAUUGGCGGUCUCGUCGCAGCUUUCCUUUGCGUAGUAACAUACCACCUCGCAACCAGGAGCGCGGCGCGGCCACUGCCGUAAAACGCCCAACUUUUUCAAGAGUUGACCUCGAAUCAGGUAGGAAUACCCGCUGAACUUAAGCAUAUCAAUAAGCGGAGGA
rnacentral:misc_RNA from 1 species